rnacentral:rRNA from 1 species
AUUACCGAGUGAGGGCCCUUUGGGUCCAACCUCCCACCCGUGUUUAUUUACCUCGUUGCUUCGGCGGGCCCGCCUUAACUGGCCGCCGGGGGGCUCACGCCCCCGGGCCCGCGCCCGCCGAAGACACCCCCGAACUCUGCCUGAAGAUUGUCGUCUGAGUGAAAAUAUAAAUUAUUUAAAACUUUCAACAACGGAUCUCUUGGUUCCGGCAUCGAUGAAGAACGCAGCGAAAUGCGAUACGUAAUGUGAAUUGCAAAUUCAGUGAAUCAUCGAGUCUUUGAACGCACAUUGCGCCCCCUGGUAUUCCGGGGGGCAUGCCUGUCCGAGCGUCAUUGCUGCCCUCAAGCCCGGCUUGUGUGUUGGGCCCCGUCCUCCGAUUCCGGGGGACGGGCCCGAAAGGCAGCGGCGGCACCGCGUCCGGUCCUCGAGCGUAUGGGGCUUUGUCACCCGCUCUGUAGGCCCGGCCGGCGCUUGCCGAUCAACCCAAAUUUUUAUCCAGGUUGACCUCGGAUCAGGUAGGGAUACCCGCUGAACUUAAGCAUAUCAAUAA